GACGAACGCUGGCGGCGUGCCUAAUACAUGCAAGUCGAGCGGACCGAACGGAAGCUUGCUUCCGUUCGGUUAGCGGCGGACGGGUGAGUAACACGUGGGUAACCUGCCCGUAAGACCGGGAUAACUCCGGGAAACCGGGGCUAAUACCGGAUAACACCGAAGACCGCAUGGGCUUUGGUUGAAAGGUGGCUUUUGCUACCACUUACGGGUGGGCCCCCGGCGCAUUAGCUAGUUGGUGAGGUAACGGCUCACCAAGGCGACGAUGCGUAGCCGGCCUGAGAGGGUGACCGGCCACACUGGGACUGAGACACGGCCCAGACUCCUACGGGAGGCAGCAGUAGGGAAUCUUCCGCAAUGGACGAAAGUCUGACGGAGCGACGCCGCGUGAGCGAAGAAGGUCUUCGGAUCGUAAAGCUCUGUUGUUAGGGAAGAAGAAGUACCGUUCGAAUAGGGCGGUACGGUGACGGUACCUAACGAGAAAGCCCCGGCUAACUACGUGCCAGCCGCCGCAGUAAAAC
rnacentral:rRNA from 1 species